CAAACGGUCCUUUUCAGGAUCACCGAUAAUCAUAUUAUUAUAGAGU
rfam:Aedes albopictus isolate Foshan contig139604, whole genome shotgun sequence.